rnacentral:lncRNA from 1 species
UGCACAGAGGAGGAGUGGGGUGGAGAAGACUGGAUUUCCACCGGAAGCUUGGGAGUGAGGAGGCAGAGGUUCCUGCGGGCCUUGGUUUUGGUGGUGAGAUCUACCAAGGGUGGGGAGAUUCCAUCUCCGUGAUGCUGGGUGUGCUGGGUGCUGCAGACAUCUAGGCUGAUAAGGGCUUUUGUCAGCUACACUGUGGAAUGGGGUGUGGCGGGUGGGGCUCUUAGUCAAGUCGACAGUUAAUGAGUGGUUAAAGAGUUGCUGCUGCUGUCGCCUUAGUUGUAAUUCACCCUGUUGUAAAUGCUCAGCGGUAACCAGGGCCAGCAGGGACGGCCAUUUAUCCUGGAGAAAGGCCUGUUACUCAGGCAGUGUUCUCUGGGUUAGGAGGGGGUAUAUCACAGGGCCUUUAAUGGAGAAGGGGUGUAGCUUGCAGGGCUCUGAGAAGGUGUGACUAGAAUGUCCCAUUCUAAGCUGGACUAGCCAGACUUGGUUCCAUAGGGGAGUCAGGGUGACUGCAGUUUCCUUCUUAAAGCAUUACCUGUUGUUGGUGUCAUUCAGUAUCUGUGAGAGCCUUGGUGUCUGUCUAGUAAAGGGGAACCUCGUAUUGACUCAGUGACCCUGGCCCCCUCAUGUGUUCUUGGCGACAUUUAUGAUUUCAGAAUCAGUGCUGUGGGGCUUACGGCCCUGAAGACUGGGACCUCAAUGUCUACUUCAACUGCAGUGGUGCCAGCUACAGCCGAGAGAAAUGUGGGGUGCCCUUCUCCUGCUGUGUGCCGGACCCUGCACAAAAAGUCGUGAACACACAGUGUGGCUAUGAUGUCAGGAUUCAGCUGAAGAGCAAGUGGGAUGAGUUCAUCUUCACGAAGGGGUGCAUCCAGGCUCUGGAGGGCUGGCUUCCCAGGAACAUCUACAUUGUGGCUGGUGUCUUCAUUGCCAUCUCCCUGCUGCAG